rnacentral:rRNA from 1 species
UUUAAAUUGAGAGUUUGAUCCUGGCUCAGGAUGAACGCUGGUGGCGUGCCUAAUACAUGCAAGUCGUACGCUAGCCGCUGAAUUGAUCCUUCGGGUGAAGUGAGGCAAUGACUAGAGUGGCGAACUGGUGAGUAACACGUAAGAAACCUGCCCUUUAGUGGGGGAUAACAUUUGGAAACAGAUGCUAAUACCGCGUAACAACAAAUCACACAUGUGAUCUGUUUGAAAGGUCCUUUUGGAUCGCUAGAGGAUGGUCUUGCGGCGUAUUAGCUUGUUGGUAGGGUAGAAGCCUACCAAGGCAAUGAUGCGUAGCCGAGUUGAGAGACUGGCCGGCCACAUUGGGACUGAGACACUGCCCAAACUCCUACGGGAGGCUGCAGUAGGGAAUUUUCCGCAAUGCACGAAAGUGUGACGGAGCGACGCCGCGUGUGUGAUGAAGGCUUUCGGGUCGUAAAGCACUGUUGUAAGGGAAGAAUAACUGAAUUCAGAGAAAGUUUUCAGCUUGACGGUACCUUACCAGAAAGGGAUGGCUAAAUACGUGCCAGCAGCCGCGGUAAUACGUAUGUCCCGAGCGUUAUCCGGAUUUAUUGGGCGUAAAGCGAGCGCAGACGGUUUAUUAAGUCUGAUGUGAAAUCCCGAGGCCCAACCUCGGAACUGCAUUGGAAACUGAUUUACUUGAGUGCGAUAGAGGCAAGUGGAACUCCAUGUGUAGCGGUGAAAUGCGUAGAUAUGUGGAAGAACACCAGUGGCGAAAGCGGCUUGCUAGAUCGUAACUGACGUUGAGGCUCGAAAGUAUGGGUAGCAAACGGGAUUAGAUACCCCGGUAGUCCAUACCGUAAACGAUGGGUGCUAGUUGUUAAGAGGUUUCCGCCUCCUAGUGACGUAGCAAACGCAUUAAGCACCCCGCCUGAGGAGUACGGCCGCAAGGCUAAAACUUAAAGGAAUUGACGGGGACCCGCACAAGCGGUGGAGCAUGUGGUUUAAUUCGAAGAUACGCGAAAAACCUUACCAGGUCUUGACAUACCAAUGAUCGCUUUUGUAAUGAAAGCUUUUCUUCGGAACAUUGGAUACAGGUGGUGCAUGGU